rnacentral:rRNA from 1 species
CCUACGGGUGGCAGCAGUGAGGAAUAUUGGUCAAUGGGCGGAAGCCUGAACCAGCCAAGUCGCGUGAGGGAGUAAGGCCCUACGGGUCGUAAACCUCUUUUGCCGGGGAGCAGUGCCCAGCUCGUGAGCUGGGAGGGAGCGUACCCGGAGAAAAAGCAUCAGCAAACUCCGUGCCAGCAGCCGCGGUAAGACGGGGGAUGCGAGCGUUAUCCGGAUUUAUUGGGGUUAAAGGGUGCGUAGGCGGGCCUUCAGGCCGGCGGUAAAAUGGCGGGGCUAAACCCCGCCGAGCCGUCGGAACCGGGGGCCUUGAGUACCGGAGAAGUACGCGGAAUGCGUGGUGUAGCGGUGAAAUGCAUAGAUAUCACGCAGAACCCCGAUUGCGAAGGCAGGGUACCGGCCGGUCACUGACGCUGAGGCACGAAAGCGCGGGUAUCGAACAGGAUUAGAUACCCUAGUAGUC